AUCAAUGUUGGCUGAGUCCAGACUGGUGAUUUCUGCUUGUCCAGGAGUAGAAAGGCCCAUCACCUAUGGAGAAAGAUCAAGAUCAGAAAAAAAAACAACAACACAAUGACAGGUUUUACAGUAAACUUCAACUGGGAGUGACAAACAGCUUGAAGCAAGACACACCCUUAUUUGAAAAACAGCAAACAACAGUUUUCAACCUACUGCGGGUGGUUCUGGAAUAUAUCCUGUGCUAUAAAUGGCUGGUUCACUGUAUUGCGCUUUUCUACCUUCAAAAUACUCAAGCAUCAGAAUCAGAAUCAUCUUUAUUUGCCAAGUAUGUCCAAAACACGCAAGGAAUUUGUCUCCGGUAGUUGGAGCCGCUCUAGUACAACAAACAGUCAAUUUACAGAACACUUUGGGGACAUAAAGACAUUGACAAAAAACAAUUGUGCAAAAAGAUGCAGAGUCCUCUAGCACUUAGAGCAGUUCGAACGACUAAUAUUGCAAUAGUCCGGUGCAAUGACCAUUGUGCAAAGGGCGCUGAGACUUCAUUCAUCUGACAACACAUCAGGUGCAACUGGGGAGUUCAAUAUCUUGCUAUAGGACACUUUGACAUGGUUUCAGGGUCUCAGGAUCGUACCCUCAAGGUUGGGAGACGACCACUCGACCACCUGAGUCACUCCGCAACAUUAUUAUCCCCAGUCUUACUGCCUUGCCUUUAAAGAAUUAAACACUCUGAAACAACAUUUCAACUGGUACAGAGAAUUGAUGGACGGGUGGAUGGAUGGAUAGUUUAAUGAGUGGUGCCUUUGGAACAUGUAUGUUUAUACAUACAAAAUUCCUUUACAAAAGGGGCCGAGACCCAAACCACAUUAUCAGAGCA